CCACUGAGUUAAAAGGGCAAUUGGAUUCAAUUAUUGAAGGAGUCACUAGGCGGAUAAGAUAGAUCUAUAUCUAUCUAUAUAUAUAUUAUAAUUAUAAGUAUAUGCAGUAGACUCAUAGCGGCGAGUGUCACCUAGGGGAACGAUAAUUUUGAUUUACUUAAUUUACUUAAUAAGUAAUAAGUAUAAGUAUCGGUUAACCCGGGUUUAUUGAUAUUGGAUUUGAUAAAUAUCAAUGAAAUGAAGUGUUUCAAGACCGACCCUAAUUUCAAGACCGACCCUAAUGGAAUUGACUUAAAUUGAUCUGACCCAUCAGAACGGAACGAAACUUAUUUGAUUGAUACAUGGAUACAUGGACCUACCAAUUCGACAUAGAUCCACCGGAUUUCACAUGUGAUAAAGAGAUUCUGUUUGUUCCCCGAACCCAAAUUUUAGAGAAAAAAAAAAAAAAAAAAAAAUUGAUAACUUGUUAAUCUUAAUCCCCGUUCCCAGAUUUUCGGAUUUCUCAUUUGUGAAUUUCCCAGCUUAGGGCGAUAUAGGAAUAGUCCGAUCUCAUCUUACCAAGGAGUGGAUAAAUGAAUGAAAGUUAAGUGGAAGAAAUGAAGAAAAAAUCUUCUUUUAUGUCGGACCAAUCACUUCCCAAAAGAGUCCUCUACUUUCGUCUUUCGGCCUAUUUUUAUUUUUAUUAUUAUUUAUAGCAAUUUCUAUAAUAGAUUUCGAUUUUAGACUAGAAUGGCGAUUAGAAUGAGCGAUUGAUGGACGAAUCAAAAAAAGCUAUUGGUAUGGGAUCAGAAAAGGUGGAAAGAUCCUUUACUUUAGAGUUAGUCAUCCCAUUCCAUUAUAUUGACAAUUUCAAAAAACUGUUCAUACUAAGUAUGAUGGCAGUCGGGCAAAUAUGCCCCCAUCGUCUAGCGGUUCAGGACAUCUCUCUUUCAAGGAGGCAGCGGGGAUUCGACUUCCCCUGGGGGUAGGGUACUACGAAAGGAAGUUGAUCGUGGAUUAUAAAUAAGCCUAGACUUUAUUCUUCCUGGGUCGAUGCCCGAGCGGUUAAUGGGGACGGACUGUAAAUUCGUUGGCAAUAUGUCUACGCUGGUUCAAAUCCAGCUCGGCCCAAUAAUUCGCUGAUCCAACAGGAAAUGAUAUAACCCCCUUUGUUUUCCAGAAAUGCCAGAUACGAAAGACUCAAGAAUCAAAAGAGUCCAAUUCUCCGAUAGAUCCCUACCGCUAUUUAUUUAUUUUGUUUGCUCCAUUUAUUUGUUCCCAUAAAUUCUGAUCUUGCUAAUAAUGAUCUAGAUUCAUAUCAGGAUCAUGAAAUCGAAAGCAUAAAGUCUAAUGAAAAGAAUAAAGUAACGCAAAAAAAGACUCUUUUUUUUUUGGGACAUUGAAAAACGAAUUAUCAAUUGAUUUGGCAAUAACGAAAGGAAUCCGUGCCGCUCUCACUAAAGUGUAUAUCCGUGUGUAUAUCAAUAUCUCACUCACGUCUCGGUUCCAACACGUCGAUAUUUAUCUAAAUAUAAAUGAAAUUGUUUGAAUGAAAUCAUAAAAAUAGGUAUUCGGUACAUUUUACCGCCCCGGGAUUGUAGUUCAAUUGGUCAGAGCACCGCCCUGUCAAGGCGGAAGCUGCGGGUUCGAGCCCCGUCAGUCCCGACGGAUCCAAAUCCAAUAAAAAAAAACAUCAAUAUAUCUCGCCGUUUCUGUUAAACUGGGGCAAAAUAAAAUGGUAGAAUUUCAUGCCUACUGCUCUCCUUUGCUCUUUUUUCUUUUUCAUUUCGAUUUCUCAUCAACUAGUACCGAUUGAUGAGAAAGAGACAUGUGCGAAUUGCUACAAUUAUUGGUAGCAUCAUAUUCAGGAUUCCAAGAGCUACCGUAGGGGGUCUGGUUUUUUUGACUGUCCCCCAUCUGUGUAUGGAAUGGAAUCGAGUACCAUAUCGUUCCGGAGCGUAUACACAACUGAAUUUAAGAUCGUUACUUUGAUAGAAUACUUUUAAGAUUAAGAUUCAAAGUAUCUUCUUUUCUGGUUUCUAGUUUGGCUAACUUAAAUUACUAGUUUGAAUUUGAAAGAAUUUAUCUCAUUCAAAUUUCACGCCGAACUUUUGAGGGAUACGUUCUAGUACUAAUCCAAGGGAGGGGGGAUGAUAUUCUUAAUAAAAUAAAGAUCAAGCAAGGCGCCAACCCCUCCCGAAGAGGGAAUGAAUAAUCUUUUUUAAGCGUAUUGCCAAAGAAGAAGAAACUCUAAAUAAAUCUAAAUAAAAUAGUCAAUUUUAUGAAAUAUUCGAUUCUUUUAUACUGGGACUCGUCUUUAUCACACUUCUUUUUCGUUUUUUUUUUUUUAAUGAUAUAAUUUUCUUGAAAAAAAGAAAAUGAAAAGGGUUUAGAACUUAACCCCUUCCCUUUUUCUUUUUCUAUUUCGUUUCGAUUGUUUGUUUGGUUUUUUUCUAAACCCUUUGUAAACAAGGAAAGUGUAAAGCGGUUAGGGGGUUGUACAAGUAAGGCGGUCGAUUAUAGAAAAGACAGACUGGAAAAGACUGGUAAAUAAAAAAAGUAUUAGUAUUAAAAAAGUAUUAGUAUUAAAGUAAAGGAAUUCUUUUGAUUGAAUCAGGAAUCAAAGUUUGUAUUUGGUGUGUGGAUAAAAGAGCUGCCUAUGUUAUACUAUUGAAUUCUCGACGAUGAAUCGACUUGACAGUCAAAUAUUGUUAUUCAUGAUAUUGAUCCCAUUCGCUAUCAUCGAAAUGUAAUUCAUCCCAUUGAAUUUACAAGCGAAAGGUUAUCAUCUCUAUGGGAUUAAAUCCCGAGUUAUUGCGAAGUAAAAAAAAAACCAAACGAUGAGACUAUGGAAGUAAAUAUUCUCGCAUUUAUUGCUACUACACUGUUCGUUCUAGUUCCUACUGCGUUUUUGCUUAUAAUAUACGUAAAAACGGUCAGUCAAAGUGAUUAAUUUGAACGAAACUUGACUUCUUAGUUCUUAUCAAGGAUUUAAGAAACAAAUUUCAAUUUCAUGUCUUAGUCUUAAAUGAAACCAACGGACUAGAAUCAGCAGUAGCCUAUGAGAUUCGAUAGUAUGGUAGAAAGAUUCAUAUAUGAAUCUUUCUACCAUACUAUCUAUUUUUAUUUUUUUUUAUGUAUAAAGAUAGAAACUGAAUAGAGAUCAAUCUACAAUAUGGAUAUGGAUCCUUAUACAUGUUAAUAGAUACAUAGUAUCUCAAUUCUAUUUCUUUGCUUCGUCUAUUUGUAUUUUCUUUUUGUUCAUUCCAAUCAAUCUGAAAUAAUCGAAAGGCUGCUCUUACGAUUUUCAAAUUUAUUUAUUUCAGAUUAUUUUCAAUAUGAAUCUCGGUAUCCAUUAAAAAUAAAAAAAGAAUCAAAUCGAUGAAAGAAAAACAAAUUUGGGCAUAUAUUACUAAAAGAAAAUCAAGUUAAUAAAAGAAAAUGAAAUAGGAAAGAAAUAAAGUAAUCGUUUUUUUUAGCAUUCCGAAGAAGUCGUUGAUUGAGCGGUUGACAGAUGAUCCAAGGAGUUCUAUUCUAUAACUUCUUCCGAUUUCAAAAAGGGGUACCCCGGCGAUUGUCAACCCUGGAGCCAUGAUAUGAAACGGGUCAAUAAAGCAUAGCAGAAAGCAAAUUUCUAAAAUACUCAAAUAAUAAAAAAUAAUAAAAUCGGUGGUAAGUGCGAAAUAUGUGACUUGACCAAAGCACAAUCUUAUUAUUAUUAACUAUUCAAAUUAAAUCGUGAACCCUUUCUUUUCUCUUUGAACAGUCCAAUAAAAAAAAAGGGGGUCCGGUUUUCCGCGUUCUUCCCCAUUGUCCAUAGAGAACUCUGGCAAGGGCCGGUUCAGAAAAACCAAAUAGAAAAUCUAGGAAGACUUCGGUUGGAAUAAAAUUCCUAUGAUCUGUAUCCCCCUUCCUUUCAAAAUAGAAAUAGGGGAAUUUUGGAAAUAUCGGUUUGAUUUGGAUUCGGAAAGAGCAUUAUUCAUAUAUAUUAUGAAUUGUAUUCUAUUCAUAAUAGAAUCGAAUACAAUUACCUCGCCAGAAUCCAAGCCAAUAGAAUUCCGAAAUGAAGGUAUUUUGAUUAAUUCAAUUUCGAAAUUCUAAAUGGAAUUUAAUUACUGAAUUUAAUUAUUAUAUUAAUUCUUAAAUAAUUAAUAUAAUUAAAAAGGCUUUGCAGAACGAUCUAUAAAAAAGUGAUACAGUUUGAUUCCCCAACUCAAUUAGUAGUAUCUCUAGAGUCCACUUCUUCCCCAUACUACGAGCGAAAGGGAAAAUGUAAAGACUACCAUUAAAGCAGCCCAAGCGAGACUUACUAUAUCCAUGUGAAUUAUGUCCCCUAUCUCUAUGAAUAUGAAGAAUUUAUUCUAUUAUUGUUUCCUAAUAAUAGUGGAAUCACUGGCGCAGAGUCAAAAAGGGAUUCUGGCCAACGCCCUUGAUGAAAGACUCCACUAAAUAUGAAACGCUCCAAUAAAAUCCACUUAGAACAAGUUCGUAUAUGAUUUCUAGUAGAAUCCGGAAAAAUGAAACAAAAUACACAGUCGCACUUUUCUUUGGAAGUAUCAAAGGAGUGUUACCUAAUCUGUAGUAAUAAUAAGAACUCUCGUUUUUUUUGUUGCCCUUUAUUAUCAUUAAGUAAAAGCCAAUUAUCCGUCCAAUCGAAUAUUGAUUGAAUGCCCGUGCAUUCAGAGACUCUUAUGAGUCUGUAUACUGCAUACAAAGUAUCUCCCGCCCCUUCCAUAACGAUUAAUUCGAUUCUCCCUCGGGCUUUUCAAUCUAAUUCAAGACCCGGUCAGUAGACCUGCAUUAGCAAUUAGCAGUGGAAAUAAAUCGGUAACUCUUUGAUUUGAUAUGAAAGCGCUUCUACUACUAUAAUCUUUCCGUGAAUCCUAAAUGCAAGGAUUAACAGCACUUUAAGUUUAAGGAACAGAAAAAAAAAAGAACAGAACCCCAGCUAUUUCGAAUCACCGAAAAUGUCAAGAGUCGCGUACUUUGCUGGAAAAGAUUCGGCGAGUUAGACCAGCAAGCAGAAAUAAGGGAUUGCGAGUCUUAUCGUUUGUUGAUCAGGCGACACCAGAUUUGAACUGGGGAAAAAGGAUUUGCAGUCCCCCGCCUUACCGCUCGCCAUGCCGCCAAAACGAUACAAAAUAGAUGAAAAAUUCCCCCUUUGCUUGUUUUGUUUUGGGGGGGGGUACUCAAUGUCUUUUCUUUUUUUUGUGUACGUCCAUAUAAAAUCUCGUUUUCUUAAUUCCUUGCCUAAAAAAAAUAUGUCCUUUUUUUGGAUCGGCUCCGGUUCUUCAAUUGAUUUUAUAGUAUCUCACACAACAUCUUAAUCCUCUCUUUUCUCUUUCUUUUUUUCUAUUGAAAAAUGAAAAAAGAAAUGUGCAUUUCAGUCACAAAAGCCAAAAUUAAGGACAAAUUGGAACCAUUAAACUAGUGACUGUAAAUUCGUGACCAACUCUUGGAUUUAAAUUUUAAUUGUAAAUUGUGUUUCCUAAUGAUAGAAGAAAAUCAAAAUUGAUACCUACCUAAUCAAUAUUGUUUUUUCUAUAAAAAAAGCCUUCUCCAUUUCAAUUAUAACAGCAAUUAUGAGUAUAUGUAAACCCCAAACAUAAAUCGUUUCGCGGCUAGCUUAUUGGUUAUCUUAUCUGUGUCUGAUGCCUCUCUAUAGGGAAUUUGCCGAAAAUUGUCGUACUGCAAUUUAGAUUGAAGAGAAAAUCGAAAUUUUGAUAGAGCACGACAUGCGCUGUCCCGAAGCGAACUAUGCAAUAAAGGGGGGCGAUGUAUAUAUAGAUAGCUAUAUCGGCACGGGUUUACUAAAUACAAGCCGUCUUACGCACUUCAAUCCUAUUCUAAAAAUUCGACUAAAAAAAAAAAAAGGGGGAUCUCUUGUCUCCUACUAUUGGAGAUCCCAUUUCCAUACCGACUCAAGAUAUGCUUAUUGGGCUCUAUGUAUUAACGAGCGGGAAUCGUCGAGGUAUUUGUGCAAAUAGGUAUAAUACAUGGAAUCGGAAGAAAUUAUCCAGAUGAAAGAAUUGACGAUAAUAGCUAUACGUAUACGAAAGAACCCUUUUUUGUAAUUCCUAUGAUGCAAUUGGAGCUUAUCGGCAGAAAAGAAUCAAUUUAGAUAGUCCGUUGUGGCUUCGGUGGCGAUUAGAUCAACGCCUUAUUGCUUCAAGGGAAGCUCCCAUCGAAGUUCACUAUGAAUCUUUGGGUACCUCUCAUGAGAUUUAUGGGCAUUAUCUAAUAGUACGAAGUGUAAAAAAAGAAAUUCUUUCUAUAUACAUUCGAACCACCGUGGGCCAUAUUUCUCUUUAUCGAGAAAUCGAAGAAGCUAUACAAGGGUUUUGCCGGGCCUGCUCAUAUGGUACCUAAUCAUCUGGUGUCUAAACUAAGUAAUUCUACGACUCCUUGGGCCUUUCCGGUUCAAGUAUGACCACCAUUGCUGACCUUUCUACGCGAAUCAAGAUCGAGAAAAGGAAGUUUUCCACUCAUUGACUAAAAUCCAUUGGCGAAUCCUACUCAGCGGAAUACGGAGGUACUUAUGGCAGAACGGGUGAGUCUGGUCUUUCACAAUAAAAUGAUAGAUGGAACUGCCAUUAAACGACUUAUUAGCAGGUUAAUAGAUCACUUCGGAAUGGCAUAUACAUCCCACAUCCUGGAUCAAGUAAAGACCCUGGGGUUCCAGCAAGCCACUGCUACAUCUAUUUCAUUAGGCAUUGAUGAUCUUUUAACGAUACCUUCUAAGCGAUGGCUAGUCCAAGAUGCUGAACAACAAAGUUUUAUUUUGGAAAAACACUAUCAUUAUGGGAAUGUACACGCGAUAGAAAAACUACGACAAUCCAUUGAGAUAUGGUAUGCUACAAGUGAAUAUUUGCGACAAGAAAUGAAUCCUAAUUUUAGGAUGACUGAGCCUUUUAAUCCAGUCCAUAUAAUGUCUUUUUCGGGGGCUAGAGGAAAUGCAUCUCAAGUACACCAAUUGGUGGGUAUGAGAGGAUUAAUGUCUGAUCCCCAAGGGCAAAUGAUUGAUUUACCCAUUCAAAGUAAUUUACGCGAAGGGCUUUCUUUAACAGAAUAUAUCAUUUCUUGCUAUGGAGCCCGCAAGGGGGUUGUCGAUACCGCUGUCCGAACAUCAGAUGCUGGAUAUCUUACGCGCAGACUUGUUGAAGUAGUUCAACACAUUAUUGUACGUAGAACAGAUUGUGGCACUGUCCGAGGAAUUUCUGUGAGUCCUCAAAAUCAAAAUAGGAUGAUGUCGGAAAGGGUUUUUAGCCAAACAUUAAUUGGUCGUGUAUUAGCGGACGAUAUAUAUAUGGGCCAGCGAUCCAUUGCCAUUAGAAAUCAAGAUAUUGGGAUUGGACUUGUCAAUCGACUCAUAACCCUUCGAACACAAGCAAUAUCUAUUCGAACCCCCUUUACUUGUAGGAGUACAUCGUGGAUCUGUCGAUUAUGUUAUGGUCGGAGUCCGACUCAUGGUGACCUGGUUGAAUUGGGGGAAGCCGUAGGUAUUAUUGCGGGUCAAUCUAUUGGAGAACCAGGGACUCAACUAACAUUAAGAACUUUUCAUACCGGCGGCGUAUUUACGGGGGGCACUGCAGAACAUGUACGAGCCCCUUCUAAUGGUAAAAUCAAAUUCAAUGAGGAUUUGGUUCAUCCCACGCGCACACGUCACGGGCAUCCGGCUUUUCUAUGUUCUAUAGAUUUGGAUGUAAUUAUUGAGGGUGAAGAUAUUAUGCACAAUGUGACUAUUCCACCAAAAAGUUUUCUUUUAGUUCAAAAUGAUCAAUAUGUCGAAUCAGAACAAGUGAUUGCUGAGAUUCGGGCGGGAGCAUACACUUUGAAUUUUAAAGAGAGGGUUCGAAAACAUAUUUAUUCUGAUUCAGAGGGAGAAAUGCACUGGAGUACUGAUGUGUACCAUGCACCCGAAUUUACAUAUAGUAAUGUCCACCUCUUGCCAAAAACAAGCCAUUUAUGGAUAUUGUCGGGGGGUUCACGCAGAUCUAGUGUAGUUUCUUUUUCACUCCACAAGGAUCAAGAUCAAAUGAAUAUUCAUUCUCUUUCUGUCGAACGAAGAGAGAUUUCUAGCCUCUCGCUCUCAGUGAAUAAUGAUCAAACGGGACACAAAUUUUUUAGUUCUGAUUUUUCUGCUAAAAAAAAAGGUCGAAUUCUUGAGAUGUCUGAUUAUUCGGGAUUUAAUAGAAUCAUAAGUACUGGUCAUUGUAAUCUCAUCCAUCCUGCAAUUCUCCACGCAAAUUCGGAUUUAUUGGCAAAAAGGCAAAGAAAUGGAUUUCUUAUUCCAUUCCACUCGAUUCAAGAGCAAGAGAAAGAGCUAAUGCCCCAUUCAGGUAUCUCGAUUGAAAUACCCGUAAGGGGUAUUUUCCGUAGAAAUAGUAUUCUUGCUUAUUUCGACGAUCCUCGAUACAGAAGAAAGAGUUCCGGAAUUACUAAAUGGGGGACUCUGGGGGCGCAUUCAAUCGUUAAAAAAGAGGACUUGAUUGAGUAUCGAGGACUCAAAAAAAUUAAGCCAAAAUACCAAAUGAAAAUAGAUCGCCUUUUUUUCAUUCCGGAGGAAGUGCAUAUUUUUCCCGAAUCUUCUUACCUAAUGGUACGGAAUAAUAGUAUCAUUGGAGUAGACACACAAAUCACUUUAAAUAUACGAAGCCGGGUGGGCGGAUUGGUCCGAAUGGAGAGAAAAAGGGGAGGGGUUGAACUAAAAAUAUUUUCGGGAGAUAUCCAUUUUCCCGGAGAGAUAGAUAAGAUAUCCCGACACAGUGGCAUCCUGAUACCGCCAGAAAGUGAAAAAACAAAACUUAAGGAAGCCACUAAGGAAUCAAAAAAAUUGAAAAAGUGGAUCUAUGUUCAACGGAUCACACCUACAAAGAAAAAGUCUUUUGUUUUGGUUCGACCCGUAGUCACAUAUGAAAUAGCGAACGGUAUAAAUUUAGCAACACUCUUUCCCCAGGAUCCGCUGCGGGAAAAGGAUAAUAUGCAAUUUCGAGUUGUCAAUUAUGUCCUUUAUGGGAAGGGCAAAGCCGCUGGGGAAUUUCUGAUACAAGUCUUCAAUUAGUUCGGACGUGUUUAGUGUUGAAUUGGGACCAAGACAACAAAAGUUCUUCCGUCGAAGAGGUUUGUGCUUCCUUUGUUGAAGUACGUACAAAUGGUCUGAUUCGAAAUUUCCUAAGAAUCAACAGGAAAUCCAAAAAAAAAAAUAUCCUUUCAGAUAACGAUAAUGGAUUAUCACAUAAGUUUGAUUCUUGGAGGAAAUUUCGAAAAAUCAGAACAUUUGUACGUAUUCAAAAAAAGGAAGCCAAUAAACCAUCAUUCGAAUGGAAGAACGAUGUAUAUACAUUGGUCCCAAUUCAACACUAAACACGUCCGAACUAAUUGAAGACUUGUAUCAGAAAUUCCCCCAGCGGCUUUGCCCUUCCCAUAAAGGACAUAAUUGACAACUCGAAAUUGCAUAUUAUCCUUUUCCCGCAGCGGAUCCUGGGGAAAGAGUGUUGCUAAAUUUAUACCGUUCGCUAUUUCAUAUGUGACUACGGGUCGAACCAAAACAAAAGACUUUUUCUUUGUAGGUGUGAUCCGUUGAACAUAGAUCCACUUUUUCAAUUUUUUUGAUUCCUUAGUGGCUUCCUUAAGUUUUGUUUUUUCACUUUCUGGCGGUAUCAGGAUGCCACUGUGUCGGGAUAUCUUAUCUAUCUCUCCGGGAAAAUGGAUAUCUCCCGAAAAUAUUUUUAGUUCAACCCCUCCCCUUUUUCUCUCCAUUCGGACCAAUCCGCCCACCCGGCUUCGUAUAUUUAAAGUGAUUUGUGUGUCUACUCCAAUGAUACUAUUAUUCCGUACCAUUAGGUAAGAAGAUUCGGGAAAAAUAUGCACUUCCUCCGGAAUGAAAAAAAGGCGAUCUAUUUUCAUUUGGUAUUUUGGCUUAAUUUUUUUGAGUCCUCGAUACUCAAUCAAGUCCUCUUUUUUAACGAUUGAAUGCGCCCCCAGAGUCCCCCAUUUAGUAAUUCCGGAACUCUUUCUUCUGUAUCGAGGAUCGUCGAAAUAAGCAAGAAUACUAUUUCUACGGAAAAUACCCCUUACGGGUAUUUCAAUCGAGAUACCUGAAUGGGGCAUUAGCUCUUUCUCUUGCUCUUGAAUCGAGUGGAAUGGAAUAAGAAAUCCAUUUCUUUGCCUUUUUGCCAAUAAAUCCGAAUUUGCGUGGAGAAUUGCAGGAUGGAUGAGAUUACAAUGACCAGUACUUAUGAUUCUAUUAAAUCCCGAAUAAUCAGACAUCUCAAGAAUUCGACCUUUUUUUUUAGCAGAAAAAUCAGAACUAAAAAAUUUGUGUCCCGUUUGAUCAUUAUUCACUGAGAGCGAGAGGCUAGAAAUCUCUCUUCGUUCGACAGAAAGAGAAUGAAUAUUCAUUUGAUCUUGAUCCUUGUGGAGUGAAAAAGAAACUACACUAGAUCUGCGUGAACCCCCCGACAAUAUCCAUAAAUGGCUUGUUUUUGGCAAGAGGUGGACAUUACUAUAUGUAAAUUCGGGUGCAUGGUACACAUCAGUACUCCAGUGCAUUUCUCCCUCUGAAUCAGAAUAAAUAUGUUUUCGAACCCUCUCUUUAAAAUUCAAAGUGUAUGCUCCCGCCCGAAUCUCAGCAAUCACUUGUUCUGAUUCGACAUAUUGAUCAUUUUGAACUAAAAGAAAACUUUUUGGUGGAAUAGUCACAUUGUGCAUAAUAUCUUCACCCUCAAUAAUUACAUCCAAAUCUAUAGAACAUAGAAAAGCCGGAUGCCCGUGACGUGUGCGCGUGGGAUGAACCAAAUCCUCAUUGAAUUUGAUUUUACCAUUAGAAGGGGCUCGUACAUGUUCUGCAGUGCCCCCCGUAAAUACGCCGCCGGUAUGAAAAGUUCUUAAUGUUAGUUGAGUCCCUGGUUCUCCAAUAGAUUGACCCGCAAUAAUACCUACGGCUUCCCCCAAUUCAACCAGGUCACCAUGAGUCGGACUCCGACCAUAACAUAAUCGACAGAUCCACGAUGUACUCCUACAAGUAAAGGGGGUUCGAAUAGAUAUUGCUUGUGUUCGAAGGGUUAUGAGUCGAUUGACAAGUCCAAUCCCAAUAUCUUGAUUUCUAAUGGCAAUGGAUCGCUGGCCCAUAUAUAUAUCGUCCGCUAAUACACGACCAAUUAAUGUUUGGCUAAAAACCCUUUCCGACAUCAUCCUAUUUUGAUUUUGAGGACUCACAGAAAUUCCUCGGACAGUGCCACAAUCUGUUCUACGUACAAUAAUGUGUUGAACUACUUCAACAAGUCUGCGCGUAAGAUAUCCAGCAUCUGAUGUUCGGACAGCGGUAUCGACAACCCCCUUGCGGGCUCCAUAGCAAGAAAUGAUAUAUUCUGUUAAAGAAAGCCCUUCGCGUAAAUUACUUUGAAUGGGUAAAUCAAUCAUUUGCCCUUGGGGAUCAGACAUUAAUCCUCUCAUACCCACCAAUUGGUGUACUUGAGAUGCAUUUCCUCUAGCCCCCGAAAAAGACAUUAUAUGGACUGGAUUAAAAGGCUCAGUCAUCCUAAAAUUAGGAUUCAUUUCUUGUCGCAAAUAUUCACUUGUAGCAUACCAUAUCUCAAUGGAUUGUCGUAGUUUUUCUAUCGCGUGUACAUUCCCAUAAUGAUAGUGUUUUUCCAAAAUAAAACUUUGUUGUUCAGCAUCUUGGACUAGCCAUCGCUUAGAAGGUAUCGUUAAAAGAUCAUCAAUGCCUAAUGAAAUAGAUGUAGCAGUGGCUUGCUGGAACCCCAGGGUCUUUACUUGAUCCAGGAUGUGGGAUGUAUAUGCCAUUCCGAAGUGAUCUAUUAACCUGCUAAUAAGUCGUUUAAUGGCAGUUCCAUCUAUCAUUUUAUUGUGAAAGACCAGACUCACCCGUUCUGCCAUAAGUACCUCCGUAUUCCGCUGAGUAGGAUUCGCCAAUGGAUUUUAGUCAAUGAGUGGAAAACUUCCUUUUCUCGAUCUUGAUUCGCGUAGAAAGGUCAGCAAUGGUGGUCAUACUUGAACCGGAAAGGCCCAAGGAGUCGUAGAAUUACUUAGUUUAGACACCAGAUGAUUAGGUACCAUAUGAGCAGGCCCGGCAAAACCCUUGUAUAGCUUCUUCGAUUUCUCGAUAAAGAGAAAUAUGGCCCACGGUGGUUCGAAUGUAUAUAGAAAGAAUUUCUUUUUUUACACUUCGUACUAUUAGAUAAUGCCCAUAAAUCUCAUGAGAGGUACCCAAAGAUUCAUAGUGAACUUCGAUGGGAGCUUCCCUUGAAGCAAUAAGGCGUUGAUCUAAUCGCCACCGAAGCCACAACGGACUAUCUAAAUUGAUUCUUUUCUGCCGAUAAGCUCCAAUUGCAUCAUAGGAAUUACAAAAAAGGGGUUCUUUCGUAUACGUAUAGCUAUUAUCGUCAAUUCUUUCAUCUGGAUAAUUUCUUCGAUUCCAUGUAUUAUACCUAUUUGCACAAAUACCUCGACGAUUCCCGCUCGUUAAUACAUAGAGCCCAAUAAGCAUAUCUUGAGUCGGUAUGGAAAUGGGAUCUCCAAUAGUAGGAGACAAGAGAUUCAUAUGAGAAAACAUAAGUAACCGAGCCUCUGCUUGAGCCUCUAAAGAUAAGGGUACAUGAACAGCCAUUUGAUCCCCAUCAAAGUCUGCGUUGAAUCCCUUACAAACUAAUGGAUGUAAACAAAUAGCGCGCCCUUCCACUAAAAUGGGCUGGAAUGCCUGUACGCCCAAUCUAUGCAGAGUAGCGCUCUAUUCAGCAAUACUGGAUGUCCCUGCAUAACUUCCUGCAGUAUUUCCCAGAUAAUCGGCCCUUUUUCCCGAAUUUUACUCUUAGCAACUCCUAUGUUCGAAGCAAGGUGUUGUCUAAUUAGCCCACAAAUUACAAAAGUCUGGAAAAGCUCUAUUGCGAUUUCGCGAGGCAAUCCACAUUGAUGUAAUGAAAGUGAGGGGCCCACAACAAUGACAGACCGCCCGAAUAAUCGACCCGUUUGCCAAGCAGAGUCUCACGAAAUCUUCCCUCUUUUCCUUCAAUUACAUCUGAAAACGACUUAUAAAUCUUAUUAUGACCAUCCCUCAUUGGCUGUCCACGGAUUCCAUUAUCAAGAAGCGUAUCCACGGCUUUUGUACCAAUUUCUCCUGACACAUUACCAAUUCCCCUGGCGUAGAUCUACUUGUUGUUAAUAGGUCGAUAAGAGUAUUGUUCCGAUAGAUAACUCUUCUAUAGAGUUCAUUAAUAUCUGAACUCAUUAGUUUACCUCCAUCUAUUUGAAUGAUAGGCCUCAACUCGGGAGAAGAACAGGUAAUAGACAUAAAACCAUCCACUCUGGUUCUAUAUUUGUUCGAAGAAAAUGCUUAGCUAAUUCCAUGCGUCUAACCAAAAAAUCCCUUCUUCGUCCAAUUUUUCGAUCUUCCCAGUCAUUACCGGCGGGCCCUUCUUCCCUAAUUCUUUCCAUUCUAACAAGGAAUUAUCUAGAAUAAUUCGCAAAUCUAGAUCGGCUAAUUGUUCCGGAUAGCAACUGCUCCAGUAGAAAUUUCUCGGUUACGAAAUUUAUCGAAACCUUGGGUAGUAAAAAAAGUGGGAUGCUGUAUUUCCAGGAUUGUAUUUCAUAUUCGAAUGAACCGCGUAAUCGUAAAAAAGUCGGUUUUUUCGCUAUAGGCCUAGCAAAAGAAAAUUGGGAUAGGACCCUAUCCUAUGGAUCUCCCCCCAUCAAAAUCGGACAUGAGCGUUUCUUCUCAUCCGGCUCAAGUAGUUACGCCAAAUAAGGAUAAAGAAAGGGAUUCUCGCUUUCAAAUUCUAUAAAAAACCCCAUACCCAAACAACUACUCCUUACUCAAGUUCCCAGUAAAGACCAAGCAACAUUUCAUUGAUUCAUUCUUCUUUUCCUUUUAUUGAGAUUUUCGAAAUUCUUUAUUCAAUUAUAAAUUACGAAACUGAAAUGUGAAAUUCUUGAGUAGUCUACUUCCCCCCGAAUGACAAAUCCCCUUACCUUAAAUUAAAUAAAUUAAAGGAAAGAAGUGCCUUGGAAUUCAUAAGGGAUUUUUUUGUCUAUGUAUCGUUCCUUUCGAUCUUUUAGGUCCUGCUUCACCUCGACGGUUAUGCACGAUAUACUUAAAGCCUAUAUGCGAUGUAUAGACUCCCCCAACCAUGACAUAUUUGCUUACUUGAGGAACAGAAUUUCAUUUUUUUUUUUCACGAGGUACAACUAGAAAUUCUUAUUUAUUUUUUACUGAAUCGACCAUAGACCAAUUCCCCUUUUUCGUUUUUGGGGGAGUAUUGAAUACACCCAUCGGUCUGAGCUUCAUGUGACUCCUCCAAAGAGACAUGUCAGGUUCAGGGCAUCCCAAUUCGAUUGCCUGGGAUGACAGUUUCAUAUUUCGAAUCUGUAAAAUCAAAAUUUCGAUCAAAUCACACAUCGCAAUAUACUAGGCCUUCUAAUUCUUUAAGAGGUUUAUCUAAAAGAUUCGCGAUAUAACUAGGAAGACGUUUCAAAUACCACACGUGGUUACUGGGCAUCCCAGUUUUAUGUAUCCCAUUUGAUAUCUUCGUAUCCGAGAAUCAACAAAUUCAACCCACAUUGUUCACAAAAUUGCGGGUCUUCUUUUUCAUCUCCGAUUAUUCGAUAAUUUCCACAAGCACAAAUUCCACUUUUAAUAGGCCCAAAAAUUCUUUCACAAAAUAAUCCAUCUUUUUCCGGUUUAUUGGUUUUGUAAUGAAAAGUAUAGGGUUUUGUCACUUCUCCAAUUAUCUCUCCAUUAGGUAGGAUUUUAUUGGCCCAAGCGCGUAUUUGUUGAGGAGAAACUGAUCCAAUUCGGAGUUGUUGAUGUUUAUAUCGAUCAAUCAUAGAAGAAAAUUUUUGAUUCAUUCCGAUUAAGCUUCCUUCUUAUUAAUCUGGAAGUUUUUCUCAGAUACAACAAAAUGAUUCAGUUCCAAAGCCAAAGAUCGUAGUUCUCGAACGAGCAAUCGAAAAGAUUCUGGAGCAUCUUCCGGGUUAGGUAUUGUUUCUCCAAUGAUUGUAGUACCAAGUACUUCUUGGCGCGCUCUAAUAUGAUCAGAUUUAUAAGUAAGCAUCUCUUGUAAAAUAUGAGCAACACCAAAGCCCUCUAGAGCCCAAACCUCCAUUUCUCCUACCCGUUGUCCCCCUUGUUUGGACCUUCCUCUAAGGGUUGUUGGGUAACAAGUGCAUAAUGCCCACUGGAACGUCCGUGUACUUUAUCAUCACUUGAUGAAUUAAUUUCAAGAUAUAAGCUUUCCUAUUAGAACAGGUUCUUCAAAAGGAUCUCCCGUUCGUCCAUCAAAUAUUCUGCUUUUUCCCGGGUAUUCCGGCUCAAAUACCCAUGGAUUCGCGGUUUGCUUACUGGCUUCAUAUAAUUCAGAAACACGAGUUUUCUCGAAGCCUCUUGUUCAUAUCUCUCAUCAAAAGGUGCUAUUCGAUAAUGUCGAUUUAGCAGACCCCCCGCUAACCCGAGCGAGCAUUCAAAUAUCUGUCCUACAUUCAUUCGCGAGGGUACUCUAGUGGGUUGAAAACCAUAUCAACAGGCCUUCCAUCUUGCAAAUAAGGCAUAUCCUGUCUAGGCAAAAUUUUUGAAACGAUACCCUUAUUUCCAUGUCUUCCAGCUACUUUAUCACCUACUUUGAUUUCACGUUUCUGUGAAAUAUAUACACAAAUCGUUUCUGGAUUAUAACUAGAACCCCCUUUUUCUGGACCCAUCUCACAUCAAUAACGCGACCCCUACCACCUAUAGGUAGUUUUAGGCAAGUUUCCUUUGAAGUGGAUACCUGAAUGCCAAGUAUGGCCCGUAAUAAUCUAUCUUCCGGAGCAUACGAUGAUUCUUUCGCCGCCUGAGGCGUUAAUUUACCUACUAAAAUAUCGCCGGUCUCUACCCAAGAUCCCAGCAUCACAAUUCCAUUUUUGUCUAAAUUGCGGAGUAACCGGGCUUCUAGAUGUGGUAUUUCAUUAGUGAUCCUUUCGGGACCUUGACUUGUCACAUGAGUCUGAAUUUCGUAUUUCCGUAUGUGAAAAGAAGUAUAAAUAUCUCUAUAUAUCAGACGUUCGCUAAUAAGUACCGCAUCCUCAAAAUUGUAGCCUUCCCAUGGCAUAUAAGCUACUAAUAUGUUUUUCCCUAAAGCGAGUUCGCCGCCAACUGUAGCGGCACCAUCCGCUAAAACUUGGCCCUUUUUAAUGCAUUUACCCCGCCCAACCUGGGGUUUUUGAUGCAUACAAGUAUUUUUGUUUGAACGUUGAUACAUAAUUAAUGGGAUACUAUAUGUAUUACCGUUUCCCGAUAAAACAAUCUUGUCAAUAUCGGUAUAAAUGAUCUUUCCCUCGUGUUCGGCUAUAGCGGGAACCCUGAAUCUAGAGCCACUUGAGGUUCCAACCCAGUUCCAACAAUGCACUUCUCGGACCGAACGAGCGGAACUGCUUGGCGUUGCAUAUUAGAACUCAUUAAAGCCCGAUUCGCAUCAUUAUGCUCGAUAAAAGGAAUGAGGGAAGCCCCAAUAGAAAAAUAUUGGAAGGGAAAAAUACUUCGAAGAUGAACCUGUUCCCACGCAAUAGUCAGGAACUCUUGACGGUAUCGAGUCGGAACAACCUGUUCUUCCGGACUACCCUGAUUCAGUGCCAAAGAAUUUCCUGCCGCUACCAUAUAGUAUUCAUCUCUACUUGGUGAUAAAUAAAGCAUCCGUACUUUUUUUGAUUUUUCAAAGAUUUCAUAAAACGGGCUUUCUAGAGACCCCCAAUAACCAAUUCUCGCAUGAAUUGCUAAGGAUCCAAUAAGUCCAACAUUGAUUCCUUCGGACGUGUCAAUUGGACAAAUGCGGCCAUAGUGACUAGGAUGGAUAUCUCGUACCCGAAAACUCGCAGUUCGCCCUGUCAAUCCUCCGGGGCCCAAAUAACUCAAUUUUCUCCCAUGAACUAUUUGUGUCAAUGGGUUAGUUCGAUCCAAAACUUGAGAUAAUGGAUGUAAUCCGAAAAAAGAAUCAUAAGUGGUUGUUAAGGGAGUUGAAGUUACCAAAUUUUGAGGAGUUGGCAUCAAUUUAUGCCUAAUUGCUCCACAUAUAGUUCCUCUAAUCACAUUUUCUAACCGAACCAGGGCCAAUCCGAAUUGAUCUUGUAAAAGAUUCGCGACAGACCGAAUACGUUUAUUUUUCAAAUGAUUCAUAUCGUCAAGUGUACCCAUUCCAAAUUUCAGUCCAAUCAAAUGAUCGACAGCUGCCAAUACAUCUCGUGGUAACAAAAAUGUAUUGUUCUGAGGUAUAUUCAGAUUCAGUCUCUGGUUCAUAUUUCGUCUACCAAUCUUUCCUAAUUCACAUCUUUGGUGAAAAAAUUUCUUUUGUAAUUCCUUACAUAAGGAUUCCGAAAAUACCGGAUCUCCGCCUACACAAGCAAAUUGUUGAUAAAACUCCAAAAUGGCAUUUUCUUUUGAUCCAAUUUUUUUUUUCUCCUUAUUCGUCAGGAAAGACAAGAAAAUUUCAGGGUAGCAAAUAUUCUCUAGAAUUUCUCGUAGAUUCGAACCCAUAGCUGCUGAUAGAACUAGAAUAGAUACUUUCUGUUUCCUACUCACACGAGCCCAUAUCCUUGCUUUUCUAUCAAUCUCUAAUUCGAAUCUUCCCCCCCAAUCAGAUAUUAUGGUGCCUGUAUAGACCGAAAUUCCGUUAUGGCCCAAUUCUGACCGAUAAUAGAUACCGGGACUUUGCAAUAUUUGAUUGAUGACAAUUCUGUAUAUUCCGUUUACUAUAGAAGUUCCCAAAGAAUUCAUUAGAGGAAUGUUUCCAAUAAAAAUAGUUUGUUCCUGCAUGUCCCUCGGCUUUUCCAAAUUAAUCCUGCGGAUACAUAUAAUUCAGAAGAAUACGUGAAUGAUUCAUAUACAGCAUCUCUUUCUUUUAGCAAGGGUUCUACCAAUUGAUAUGUUUCCACAAAUAAUUGAAAUUCAAUUUCUUGAUCUGUAUCUUCAAUUUUUGGAAACUUAUAAAGCUCUUCUGUUAAGCCCUGAUCAAUGAACCUACAAAAUCCUUCAAAUUGUAUCUGAUUCAACCCAGGUAUUGUAGACAUUCCUGCAUUUCCAUCUCCGAGCAUUUUGAAUUUCCCAUUUAUCAAAAAAUCCCAUUCGUUUCUCAUUCUGCAUCGAUUCAUAUGAUUCGAUGCAGAAUGCUGGAAUUUAGAUUCUGUUUACUGAAUCGCAUGAAAUUUUACCCAACUCCAUAUAGAUGGAAUGUAUGAAAUACGUAUGAACGGGGGAAAAAGGAUGAUUUUAUACUUAAUAAAAUUGGAAUUUCUAAGAGACAGAUCCAAAUGGAAAGGAAGCGAUAAAUUCCACUUAGACUUACGGAGUUUUGUAUAGAAUCAAAAAAAUAAUUCAAUUUAUACCAUUAUUAUGAUAUUCCAAUCCGUUAGGAUACCAGAAAAAUAAACGUCGUGAUUUGAUCUAUUCGCUAAGAUAAAGACAUAAGAAUCAGACACAAUAUACCAGCGUAAAGCUCAUUUUUUUAGCACUUACCUUUUUCGUGGAUUCCACUGUUCAAAAAAUGAUUUGCGAAGAACCCCCUUUUUAUUUUUUUAGUCGAAUUUUUAGAAUAGGAUUGAAGUGCGUAAGACGGCUUGUAUUUAGUAAACCCGUGCCGAUAUAGCUAUCUAUAUAUACAUCGCCCCCCUUUAUUGCAUAGUUCGCUUCGGGACAGCGCAUGUCGUGCUCUAUCAAAAUUUCGAUUUUCUCUUCAAUCUAAAUUGCAGUACGACAAUUUUCGGCAAAUUCCCUAUAGAGAGGCAUCAGACACAGAUAAGAUAACCAAUAAGCUAGCCGCGAAACGAUUUAUGUUUGGGGUUUACAUAUACUCAUAAUUGCUGUUAUAAUUGAAAUGGAGAAGGCUUUUUUUAUAGAAAAAAACCAAUAUUGAUUAGGUAGGUAUCAAUUUUUGAUUUUCUUCUAUCAUUAGGAAACACAAUUUACAAUUAAAAUUUAAAUCCAAGAGUUGGUCACGAAUUUACAGUCACUAGUUAAUGGUUCCAAUUUGUCCUUAAUUUUGGCUUUUGUGACUGAAAAUGCACAUUUCUUUUUUCAUUUUUCAAUAGAAAAAAAGAAAGAGAAAAGAGAGGGAUUAAGAUGUUGUGUGAGAUACUAUAAAAUCAAUUGAAGAACCGGAGCCGAUCCAAAAAAAGGACAUAUUUUUUUUAGGCAAGGAAUUAAGAAAAACGAGAUUUUAUAUGGACGUACACAAAAAAAAGAAAAGACAUUGAGUACCCCCCCCCCAAACAAAACAAGCAAAGGGGGAAUUUUUUCAUCUAUUUUGUAUCGUUUUGGCGGCAUGGCCGAGCGGUAAGGCGGGGGACUGCAAAUCCUUUUUCCCCAGUUCAAAUCUGGGUGUCGCCUGAUCAACAAACGAUAAGACUCGCAAUCCCUUAUUCUGCUUGGCUGGUCUAACUCGCCGAAUCUUUUCCAGCAAAGUACGCGACUCUUGACAUUUUCGUGAUUCGAAAUAGCUGGGGUUUCUGUUCUUUUUUUUUUUCUGUUCCUUAAACUUAAAGUGCUGUUAAUCCUUGCAUUUAGGAUUCACGGAAAGAUUAUAGUAGUAGAAGCGCUUUCAUAUCAAAUCAAGAGUUACCGAUUUAUUUCCACUGCUAAUUGCUAAUGCAGGGUCUACUGACCGGGUCUUGAAUUAGAUUGAAAAGCCCGAGGGAGAAUCGAAUUAAUCGUUAUGGAAGGGGCGGGAGAUACUUUGUAUGCAGUAUACAGACUCAUAAGAGUCUCUGAAUGCACGGGCAUUCAAUCAAUAUUCGAUUGGACGGAUAAUUGGCUUUUACUUAAUGAUAAUAAAGGGCAACAAAAAAAACGAGGAGUUCUUAUUAUUACUACAGAUUAGGUAACACUCCCUUUGAUACUUCCAAAGAAAAGUGCGACUGUGUAUUUUGUUUCAUUUUUCCGGAUUCUACUAGAAAUCAUAUACGAACUUGUUCUAAGUGGAUUUAUUGGAGCGUUUCAUAUUUAGUGGAGUCUUUCAUCAAGGGCGUUGGGCCAGAAUCCCUUUUUGACUCUGCGCCAGUGAUUCCACUAUUAUUAGGAAACAAUAAUAGAAUAAAUUCUUCAUAUUCAUAGAGAUAGGGGACAUAAUUCACAUGGAUAUAGUAAGUCUCGCUUGGGCUGCUUUAAUGGUAGUCUUUACAUUUUCCCUUUCGCUCGUAGUAUGGGGAAGAAGUGGACUCUAGAGAUACUACUAAUUGAGUUGGGGAAUCAAACUGUAUCACUUUUUUUAUAGAUCGUUCUGCAAAGCCUUUUUAAUUAUAUUAAUUAUUUAAGAAUUAAUAUAAUAAUUAAAUUCAGUAAUUAAAUUCCAUUUAGAAUUUCGAAAUUGAAUUAAUCAAAAUACCUUCAUUUCGGAAUUCUAUUGGCUUGGAUUCUGGCGAGGUAAUUGUAUUCGAUUCUAUUAUGAAUAGAAUACAAUUCAUAAUAUAUAUGAAUAAUGCUCUUUCCGAAUCCAAAUCAAACCGAUAUUUCCAAAAUUCCCCUAUUUCUAUUUUGAAAGGAAGGGGGAUACAGAUCAUAGGAAUUUUAUUCCAACCGAAGUCUUCCUAGAUUUUCUAUUUGGUUUUUCUGAACCGGCCCUUGCCAGAGUUCUCUAUGGACAAUGGGGAAGAACGCGGAAAACCGGACCCCCCUUUUUUUUUAUUGGACUGUUCAAAGAGAAAAGAAAGGGUUCACGAUUUAAUUUGAAUAGUUAAUAAUAAUAAGAUUGUGCUUUGGUCAAGUCACAUAUUUCGCACUUACCACCGAUUUUAUUAUUUUUUAUUAUUUGAGUAUUUUAGAAAUUUGCUUUCUGCUAUGCUUUAUUGACCCGUUUCAUAUCAUGGCUCCAGGGUUGACAAUCGCCGGGGUACCCCUUUUUGAAAUCGGAAGAAGUUAUAGAAUAGAACUCCUUGGAUCAUCUGUCAACCGCUCAAUCAACGACUUCUUCGGAAUGCUAAAAAAAACGAUUACUUUAUUUCUUUCCUAUUUCAUUUCUUUUAUUAACUUGAUUUUCUUUUAGUAAUAUAUGCCCAAAUUUGUUUUUCUUUCAUCGAUUUGAUUCUUUUUUUUAUUUUUAAUGGAUACCGAGAUUCAUAUUGAAAAUAAUCUGAAAUAAAUAAAUUUGAAAAUCGUAAGAGCAGCCUUUCGAUUAUUUCAGAUUGAUUGGAAUGAACAAAAAGAAAAUACAAAUAGACGAAGCAAAGAAAUAGAAUUGAGAUACUAUGUAUCUAUUAACAUGUAUAAGGAUCCAUAUCCAUAUUGUAGAUUGAUCUCUAUUCAGUUUCUAUCUUUAUACAUAAAAAAAAAUAAAAAUAGAUAGUAUGGUAGAAAGAUUCAUAUAUGAAUCUUUCUACCAUACUAUCGAAUCUCAUAGGCUACUGCUGAUUCUAGUCCGUUGGUUUCAUUUAAGACUAAGACAUGAAAUUGAAAUUUGUUUCUUAAAUCCUUGAUAAGAACUAAGAAGUCAAGUUUCGUUCAAAUUAAUCACUUUGACUGACCGUUUUUACGUAUAUUAUAAGCAAAAACGCAGUAGGAACUAGAACGAACAGUGUAGUAGCAAUAAAUGCGAGAAUAUUUACUUCCAUAGUCUCAUCGUUUGGUUUUUUUUUUACUUCGCAAUAACUCGGGAUUUAAUCCCAUAGAGAUGAUAACCCUUUCGCUUGUAAAUUCAAUGGGAUGAAUUACAUUUCGAUGAUAGCGAAUGGGAUCAAUAUCAUGAAUAACAAUAUUUGACUGUCAAGUCGAUUCAUCGUCGAGAAUUCAAUAGUAUAACAUAGGCAGCUCUUUUAUCCACACACCAAAUACAAACUUUGAUUCCUGAUUCAAUCAAAAGAAUUCCUUUACUUUAAUACUAAUACUUUUUUAAUACUAAUACUUUUUUUAUUUACCAGUCUUUUCCAGUCUGUCUUUUCUAUAAUCGACCGCCUUACUUGUACAACCCCCUAACCGCUUUACACUUUCCUUGUUUACAAAGGGUUUAGAAAAAAACCAAACAAACAAUCGAAACGAAAUAGAAAAAGAAAAAGGGAAGGGGUUAAGUUCUAAACCCCUUUUCAUUUUCUUUUUUUCAAGAAAAUUAUAUCAUUAAAAAAAAAAAAAACGAAAAAGAAGUGUGAUAAAGACGAGUCCCAGUAUAAAAGAAUCGAAUAUUUCAUAAAAUUGACUAUUUUAUUUAGAUUUAUUUAGAGUUUCUUCUUCUUUGGCAAUACGCUUAAAAAAGAUUAUUCAUUCCCUCUUCGGGAGGGGUUGGCGCCUUGCUUGAUCUUUAUUUUAUUAAGAAUAUCAUCCCCCUCCCUUGGAUUAGUACUAGAACGUAUCCCUCAAAAGUUCGGCGUGAAAUUUGAAUGAGAUAAAUUCUUUCAAAUUCAAACUAGUAAUUUAAGUUAGCCAAACUAGAAACCAGAAAAGAAGAUACUUUGAAUCUUAAUCUUAAAAGUAUUCUAUCAAAGUAACGAUCUUAAAUUCAGUUGUGUAUACGCUCCCGGGAACGAUAUGGUACUCGAUUCCAUUCCAUACACAGAUGGGGGACAGUCAAAAAAACCAGACCCCCUACGGUAGCUCUUGGAAUCCUGAAUAUGAUGCUACCAAUAAUUGUAGCAAUUCGCACAUGUCUCUUUCUCAUCAAUCGGUACUAGUUGAUGAGAAAUCGAAAUGAAAAAGAAAAAAGAGCAAAGGAGAGCAGUAGGCAUGAAAUUCUACCAUUUUAUUUUGCCCCAGUUUAACAGAAACGGCGAGAUAUAUUGAUGUUUUUUUUUAUUGGAUUUGGAUCCGUCGGGACUGACGGGGCUCGAACCCGCAGCUUCCGCCUUGACAGGGCGGUGCUCUGACCAAUUGAACUACAAUCCCGGGGCGGUAAAAUGUACCGAAUACCUAUUUUUAUGAUUUCAUUCAAACAAUUUCAUUUAUAUUUAGAUAAAUAUCGACGUGUUGGAACCGAGACGUGAGUGAGAUAUUGAUAUACACACGGAUAUACACUUUAGUGAGAGCGGCACGGAUUCCUUUCGUUAUUGCCAAAUCAAUUGAUAAUUCGUUUUUCAAUGUCCCAAAAAAAAAGAGUCUUUUUUUGCGUUACUUUAUUCUUUUCAUUAGACUUUAUGCUUUCGAUUUCAUGAUCCUGAUAUGAAUCUAGAUCAUUAUUAGCAAGAUCAGAAUUUAUGGGAACAAAUAAAUGGAGCAAACAAAAUAAAUAAAUAGCGGUAGGGAUCUAUCGGAGAAUUGGACUCUUUUGAUUCUUGAGUCUUUCGUAUCUGGCAUUUCUGGAAAACAAAGGGGGUUAUAUCAUUUCCUGUUGGAUCAGCGAAUUAUUGGGCCGAGCUGGAUUUGAACCAGCGUAGACAUAUUGCCAACGAAUUUACAGUCCGUCCCCAUUAACCGCUCGGGCAUCGACCCAGGAAGAAUAAAGUCUAGGCUUAUUUAUAAUCCACGAUCAACUUCCUUUCGUAGUACCCUACCCCCAGGGGAAGUCGAAUCCCCGCUGCCUCCUUGAAAGAGAGAUGUCCUGAACCGCUAGACGAUGGGGGCAUAUUUGCCCGACUGCCAUCAUACUUAGUAUGAACAGUUUUUUUGAAAUUGUCAAUAUAAUGGAAUGGGAUGACUAACUCUAAAGUAAAGGAUCUUUCCACCUUUUCUGAUCCCAUACCAAUAGCUUUUUUUGAUUCGUCCAUCAAUCGCUCAUUCUAAUCGCCAUUCUAGUCUAAAAUCGAAAUCUAUUAUAGAAAUUGCUAUAAAUAAUAAUAAAAAUAAAAAUAGGCCGAAAGACGAAAGUAGAGGACUCUUUUGGGAAGUGAUUUGGUCCGACAUAAAAGAAGAUUUUUUCUUCAUUUCUUCCACUUAACUUUCAUUCAUUUAUCCACUCCUUGGUAAGAUGAGAUCGGACUAUUCCUAUAUCGCCCUAAGCUGGGAAAUUCACAAAUGAGAAAUCCGAAAAUCUGGGAACGGGGAUUAAGAUUAACAAGUUAUCAAAUUUUUUUUUUUUUUUUUUUUUUCUCUAAAAUUUGGGUUCGGGGAACAAACAGAAUCUCUUUAUCACAUGUGAAAUCCGGUGGAUCUAUGUCGAAUUGGUAGGUCCAUGUAUCCAUGUAUCAAUCAAAUAAGUUUCGUUCCGUUCUGAUGGGGUCAGAUCAAUUUAAGUCAAUUCCAUUAGGGUCGGUCUUGAAAUUAGGGUCGGUCUUGAAAACACUUCAUUUCAUUGAUAUUUAUCAAAUCCAAUAUCAAUAAACCCGGGUUAACCGUAUACUUAUACUACUUAUUACUAUAAUUAAGAUAAAUUAAUAGUAAAAGUCAAAUAUUAUAGUUUACCCUUUCUAGGUGACCACUACCGCCGUCAUAUGAGUCUUACUCAGUUAUACUAACUGAGUAAGAAUUGGAUUCAAUUAUUGAAGGAGUCACUAGGCGGAUAAGAUAGAUCUAUAUCUAUCUAUAUAUAUAUUAUAAUUAUAAGUAUAUGCAGUAGACUCAUAGCGGCGAGUGUCACCUAGGGGAACGAUAAUUUUGAUUUACUUAAUUUACUUAAUAAGUAAUAAGUAUAAGUAUCGGUUAACCCGGGUUUAUUGAUAUUGGAUUUGAUAAAUAUCAAAUGAAAUGAAGUGUUUCAAGACCGACCCUAAUUUCAAGACCGACCCUAAUGGAAUUGACUUAAAUUGAUCUGACCCCAUCAGAACGGAACGAAACUUAUUUGAUUGAUACAUGGAUACAUGGACCUACCAAUUCGACAUAGAUCCACCGGAUUUCACAUGUGAUAAAGAGAUUCUGUUUGUUCCCCGAACCCAAAUUUUAGAGAAAAAAAAAAAAAAAAAAAAAAUUGAUAACUUGUUAAUCUUAAUCCCCGUUCCCAGAUUUUCGGAUUUCUCAUUUGUGAAUUUCCCAGCUUAGGGCGAUAUAGGAAUAGUCCGAUCUCAUCUUACCAAGGAGUGGAUAAAUGAAUGAAAGUUAAGUGGAAGAAAUGAAGAAAAAAUCUUCUUUUAUGUCGGACCAAUCACUUCCCAAAAGAGUCCUCUACUUUCGUCUUUCGGCCUAUUUUUAUUUUUAUUAUUAUUUAUAGCAAUUUCUAUAAUAGAUUUCGAUUUUAGACUAGAAUGGCGAUUAGAAUGAGCGAUUGAUGGACGAAUCAAAAAAAGCUAUUGGUAUGGGAUCAGAAAAGGUGGAAAGAUCCUUUACUUUAGAGUUAGUCAUCCCAUUCCAUUAUAUUGACAAUUUCAAAAAACUGUUCAUACUAAGUAUGAUGGCAGUCGGGCAAAUAUGCCCCCAUCGUCUAGCGGUUCAGGACAUCUCUCUUUCAAGGAGGCAGCGGGGAUUCGACUUCCCUGGGGGUAGGGUACUACGAAAGGAAGUUGAUCGUGGAUUAUAAAUAAGCCUAGACUUUAUUCUUCCUGGGUCGAUGCCCGAGCGGUUAAUGGGGACGGACUGUAAAUUCGUUGGCAAUAUGUCUACGCUGGUUCAAAUCCAGCUCGGCCCAAUAAUUCGCUGAUCCAACAGGAAAUGAUAUAACCCCUUUGUUUUCCAGAAAUGCCAGAUACGAAAGACUCAAGAAUCAAAAGAGUCCAAUUCUCCGAUAGAUCCCUACCGCUAUUUAUUUAUUUUGUUUGCUCCAUUUAUUUGUUCCCAUAAAUUCUGAUCUUGCUAAUAAUGAUCUAGAUUCAUAUCAGGAUCAUGAAAUCGAAAGCAUAAAGUCUAAUGAAAAGAAUAAAGUAACGCAAAAAAAGACUCUUUUUUUUUUGGGACAUUGAAAAAACGAAUUAUCAAUUGAUUUGGCAAUAACGAAAGGAAUCCGUGCCGCUCUCACUAAAGUGUAUAUCCGUGUGUAUAUCAAUAUCUCACUCACGUCUCGGUUCCAACACGUCGAUAUUUAUCUAAAUAUAAAUGAAAUUGUUUUGAAUGAAAUCAUAAAAAUAGGUAUUCGGUACAUUUUACCGCCCCGGGAUUGUAGUUCAAUUGGUCAGAGCACCGCCCUGUCAAGGCGGAAGCUGCGGGUUCGAGCCCCGUCAGUCCCGACGGAUCCAAAUCCAAUAAAAAAAAACAUCAAUAUAUCUCGCCGUUUCUGUUAAACUGGGGCAAAAUAAAAUGGUAGAAUUUCAUGCCUACUGCUCUCCUUUGCUCUUUUUUCUUUUUCAUUUCGAUUUCUCAUCAACUAGUACCGAUUGAUGAGAAAGAGACAUGUGCGAAUUGCUACAAUUAUUGGUAGCAUCAUAUUCAGGAUUCCAAGAGCUACCGUAGGGGGUCUGGUUUUUUUGACUGUCCCCAUCUGUGUAUGGAAUGGAAUCGAGUACCAUAUCGUUCCCGGGAGCGUAUACACAACUGAAUUUAAGAUCGUUACUUUGAUAGAAUACUUUUAAGAUUAAGAUUCAAAGUAUCUUCUUUUCUGGUUUCUAGUUUGGCUAACUUAAAUUACUAGUUUGAAUUUGAAAGAAUUUAUCUCAUUCAAAUUUCACGCCGAACUUUUGAGGGAUACGUUCUAGUACUAAUCCAAGGGAGGGGGGAUGAUAUUCUUAAUAAAAUAAAGAUCAAGCAAGGCGCCAACCCCUCCCGAAGAGGGAAUGAAUAAUCUUUUUUAAGCGUAUUGCCAAAGAAGAAGAAACUCUAAAUAAAUCUAAAUAAAAUAGUCAAUUUUAUGAAAUAUUCGAUUCUUUUAUACUGGGACUCGUCUUUAUCACACUUCUUUUUCGUUUUUUUUUUUUUAAUGAUAUAAUUUUCUUGAAAAAAAGAAAAUGAAAAGGGGUUUAGAACUUAACCCCUUCCCUUUUUCUUUUUCUAUUUCGUUUCGAUUGUUUGUUUGGUUUUUUUCUAAACCCUUUGUAAACAAGGAAAGUGUAAAGCGGUUAGGGGGUUGUACAAGUAAGGCGGUCGAUUAUAGAAAAGACAGACUGGAAAAGACUGGUAAAUAAAAAAAGUAUUAGUAUUAAAAAAGUAUUAGUAUUAAAGUAAAGGAAUUCUUUUGAUUGAAUCAGGAAUCAAAGUUUGUAUUUGGUGUGUGGAUAAAAGAGCUGCCUAUGUUAUACUAUUGAAUUCUCGACGAUGAAUCGACUUGACAGUCAAAUAUUGUUAUUCAUGAUAUUGAUCCCAUUCGCUAUCAUCGAAAUGUAAUUCAUCCCAUUGAAUUUACAAGCGAAAGGGUUAUCAUCUCUAUGGGAUUAAAUCCCGAGUUAUUGCGAAGUAAAAAAAAAACCAAACGAUGAGACUAUGGAAGUAAAUAUUCUCGCAUUUAUUGCUACUACACUGUUCGUUCUAGUUCCUACUGCGUUUUUGCUUAUAAUAUACGUAAAAACGGUCAGUCAAAGUGAUUAAUUUGAACGAAACUUGACUUCUUAGUUCUUAUCAAGGAUUUAAGAAACAAAUUUCAAUUUCAUGUCUUAGUCUUAAAUGAAACCAACGGACUAGAAUCAGCAGUAGCCUAUGAGAUUCGAUAGUAUGGUAGAAAGAUUCAUAUAUGAAUCUUUCUACCAUACUAUCUAUUUUUAUUUUUUUUUAUGUAUAAAGAUAGAAACUGAAUAGAGAUCAAUCUACAAUAUGGAUAUGGAUCCUUAUACAUGUUAAUAGAUACAUAGUAUCUCAAUUCUAUUUCUUUGCUUCGUCUAUUUGUAUUUUCUUUUUGUUCAUUCCAAUCAAUCUGAAAUAAUCGAAAGGCUGCUCUUACGAUUUUCAAAUUUAUUUAUUUCAGAUUAUUUUCAAUAUGAAUCUCGGUAUCCAUUAAAAAUAAAAAAAGAAUCAAAUCGAUGAAAGAAAAACAAAUUUGGGCAUAUAUUACUAAAAGAAAAUCAAGUUAAUAAAAGAAAAUGAAAUAGGAAAGAAAUAAAGUAAUCGUUUUUUUUAGCAUUCCGAAGAAGUCGUUGAUUGAGCGGUUGACAGAUGAUCCAAGGAGUUCUAUUCUAUAACUUCUUCCGAUUUCAAAAAGGGGUACCCCGGCGAUUGUCAACCCUGGAGCCAUGAUAUGAAACGGGUCAAUAAAGCAUAGCAGAAAGCAAAUUUCUAAAAUACUCAAAUAAUAAAAAAUAAUAAAAUCGGUGGUAAGUGCGAAAUAUGUGACUUGACCAAAGCACAAUCUUAUUAUUAUUAACUAUUCAAAUUAAAUCGUGAACCCUUUCUUUUCUCUUUGAACAGUCCAAUAAAAAAAAAGGGGGGUCCGGUUUUCCGCGUUCUUCCCCAUUGUCCAUAGAGAACUCUGGCAAGGGCCGGUUCAGAAAAACCAAAUAGAAAAUCUAGGAAGACUUCGGUUGGAAUAAAAUUCCUAUGAUCUGUAUCCCCCUUCCUUUCAAAAUAGAAAUAGGGGAAUUUUGGAAAUAUCGGUUUGAUUUGGAUUCGGAAAGAGCAUUAUUCAUAUAUAUUAUGAAUUGUAUUCUAUUCAUAAUAGAAUCGAAUACAAUUACCUCGCCAGAAUCCAAGCCAAUAGAAUUCCGAAAUGAAGGUAUUUUGAUUAAUUCAAUUUCGAAAUUCUAAAUGGAAUUUAAUUACUGAAUUUAAUUAUUAUAUUAAUUCUUAAAUAAUUAAUAUAAUUAAAAAGGCUUUGCAGAACGAUCUAUAAAAAAAGUGAUACAGUUUGAUUCCCCAACUCAAUUAGUAGUAUCUCUAGAGUCCACUUCUUCCCAUACUACGAGCGAAAGGGAAAAUGUAAAGACUACCAUUAAAGCAGCCCAAGCGAGACUUACUAUAUCCAUGUGAAUUAUGUCCCCUAUCUCUAUGAAUAUGAAGAAUUUAUUCUAUUAUUGUUUCCUAAUAAUAGUGGAAUCACUGGCGCAGAGUCAAAAAGGGAUUCUGGCCCAACGCCCUUGAUGAAAGACUCCACUAAAUAUGAAACGCUCCAAUAAAUCCACUUAGAACAAGUUCGUAUAUGAUUUCUAGUAGAAUCCGGAAAAAAUGAAACAAAAUACACAGUCGCACUUUUCUUUGGAAGUAUCAAAGGGAGUGUUACCUAAUCUGUAGUAAUAAUAAGAACUCCUCGUUUUUUUUUGUUGCCCUUUAUUAUCAUUAAGUAAAAGCCAAUUAUCCGUCCAAUCGAAUAUUGAUUGAAUGCCCGUGCAUUCAGAGACUCUUAUGAGUCUGUAUACUGCAUACAAAGUAUCUCCCGCCCCUUCCAUAACGAUUAAUUCGAUUCUCCCUCGGGCUUUUCAAUCUAAUUCAAGACCCGGUCAGUAGACCCUGCAUUAGCAAUUAGCAGUGGAAAUAAAUCGGUAACUCUUGAUUUGAUAUGAAAGCGCUUCUACUACUAUAAUCUUUCCGUGAAUCCUAAAUGCAAGGAUUAACAGCACUUUAAGUUUAAGGAACAGAAAAAAAAAAGAACAGAAACCCCAGCUAUUUCGAAUCACGAAAAUGUCAAGAGUCGCGUACUUUGCUGGAAAAGAUUCGGCGAGUUAGACCAGCCAAGCAGAAUAAGGGAUUGCGAGUCUUAUCGUUUGUUGAUCAGGCGACACCCAGAUUUGAACUGGGGGAAAAAGGAUUGCAGUCCCCCGCCUUACGCUCGGCCAUGCCGCAAAACGAUACAAAAUAGAUGAAAAAAUCCCCCUUUGCUUGUUUUGUUUGGGGGGGGGGUACUCAAUGUCUUUUCUUUUUUUUGUGUACGUCCAUAUAAAACUCGUUUUUCUUAAUUCCUUGCCUAAAAAAAAUAGUCCUUUUUUUGGAUCGGCUCCGGUUCUUCAAUUGAUUUUAUAGUAUCUCACCAACAUCUUAAUCCCUCUCUUUUCUCUUCUUUUUUUCUAUUGAAAAAUGAAAAAAGAAAUGUGCAUUUUCAGUCACAAAAGCCAAAAUUAAGGACAAAUUGAACCAUUAACUAGUGACUGUAAAUUCGUGACCAACUCUUGGAUUUAAAUUUUAAUUGUAAUGUGUUUCCUAAUGAUAGAAGAAAAUCAAAAUUGAUACCUACCUAAUCAAUAUUGGUUUUUCUAUAAAAAAAAGCCUUCUCCAUUUCAAUUAUAACAGCAAUUAUGAGUAUAUGUAAACCCCAAACAUAAAUCGUUUCGCGGCUAGCUUAUUGGUUAUCUUAUCUGUGUCUGAUGCCUCUCUAUAGGGAAUUUGCGAAAAUUGUCGUACUGCAAUUUAGAUGAAGAGAAAAUCGAAAUUUUGAUAGAGCACGACAUGCGCUGUCCCGAAGCGAACUAUGCAAUAAAGGGGGCGAUGUAUAUAUAGAUAGCUAUAUCGGCACGGGUUACUAAAUACAAGCCGUCUUACGCACUUCAAUCCUAUUCUAAAAAUUCGACUAAAAAAAUAAAAAGGGGGUUCUUCGCAAAUCAUUUUUUGAACAGUGGAAUCCACGAAAAAGGUAAGUGCUAAAAAAAUGAGCUUUACGCUGGUAUAUUGUGUCUGAUUCUUAUGUCUUAUCUUAGCGAAUAGAUCAAUCACGACGUUUAUUUUUCUGGUAUCCUAACGAUUGGAAUAUCAUAAUAAUGGUAUAAAUUGAAUUAUUUUUUUGAUUCUAUACAAAACUCCGUAAGUCUAAGUGGAAUUUAUCGCUUCCUUUCCAUUUGGAUCUGUCUCUAGAAAUUCCAAUUUUAUUAAGUAUAAAAUCAUCCUUUUUCCCCCGUUCAUACGUAUUUCAUACAUUCCAUCUAUAUGGAGUUGGGUAAAAUUUCAUGCGAUUCAGUAAACAGAAUCUAAAAUUCCAGCAUUCUGCAUCGAAUCAUAUGAAUCGAUGCAGAAUGAGAAACGAAUGGGAUUUUUUGAUAAAUGGGAAAUUCAAAAUGCUCGGAGAUGGAAAUGCAGGAAUGUCUACAAUACCUGGGUUGAAUCAGAUACAAUUUGAAGGAUUUUGUAGGUUCAUUGAUCAGGGCUUAACAGAAGAGCUUUAUAAGUUUCCAAAAAUUGAAGAUACAGAUCAAGAAAUUGAAUUUCAAUUAUUUGUGGAAACAUAUCAAUUGGUAGAACCUUGCUAAAAGAAAGAGAUGCUGUAUAUGAAUCAUUCACGUAUUCUUCUGAAUUAUAUGUAUCCGCAGGAUUAAUUUGGAAAAGCCGAGGGGACAUGCAGGAACAAACUAUUUUUAUUGGAAACAUUCCUCUAAUGAAUUCUUUGGGAACUUCUAUAGUAAACGGAAUAUACAGAAUUGUCAUCAAUCAAAUAUUGCAAAGUCCGGUAUCUAUUAUCGGUCAGAAUUGGGCCAUAACGGAAUUUCGGUCUAUACAGGCACCAUAAUAUCUGAUUGGGGGGGAAGAUUCGAAUUAGAGAUUGAUAGAAAAAGCAAGGAUAUGGGCUCGUGUGAGUAGGAAACAGAAAGUAUCUAUUCUAGUUCUAUCAGCAGCUAUGGGUUCGAAUCUACGAGAAAUUCUAGAGAAUAUUUGCUACCCUGAAAUUUUUCUUGUCUUUCCUGACGAAUAAGGAGAAAAAAAAAUUGGAUCAAAAGAAAAUGCCAUUUUGGAGUUUUAUCAACAAUUUGCUUGUGUAGGCGGAGAUCCGGUAUUUUCGGAAUCCUUAUGUAAGGAAUUACAAAAGAAAUUUUUCACCAAAGAUGUGAAUUAGGAAAGAUUGGUAGACGAAAUAUGAACCAGAGACUGAAUCUGAAUAUACCUCAGAACAAUACAUUUUUGUUACCACGAGAUGUAUUGGCAGCUGUCGAUCAUUUGAUUGGACUGAAAUUUGGAAUGGGUACACUUGACGAUAUGAAUCAUUUGAAAAAUAAACGUAUUCGGUCUGUCGCGAAAUCUUUUACAAGAUCAAUUCGGAUUGGCCCUGGUUCGGUUNAAAAUAGGCCGAAAGACGAAAGUAGAGGACUCUUUUGGAAGUGAUUGGUCCGACAUAAAAGAAGAUUUUUUCUUCAUUUCUUCCACUUAACUUUCAUUCAUUUAUCCACUCCUUGGUAAGAUGAGAUCGGACUAUUCCUAUAUCGCCCUAAGCUGGGAAAUUCACAAAUGAGAAAUCCGAAAAUCUGGGAACGGGAUUAAGAUUAACAAGUUAUCAAUUUUUUUUUUUUUUUUUUUUUUCUCUAAAAUUUGGGUUCGGGGAACAAACAGAAUCUCUUUAUCACAUGUGAAAUCCGGUGGAUCUAUGUCGAAUUGGUAGGUCCAUGUAUCCAUGUAUCAAUCAAAUAAGUUUCGUUCCGUUCUGAUGGGGUCAGAUCAAUUUAAGUCAAUUCCAUUAGGUCGGUCUUGAAAUUAGGGUCGGUCUUGAAACACUUCAUUUCAUUGAUAUUUAUCAAAUCCAAUAUCAAUAAACCCGGGUUAACCGAUACUUAUACUUAUUACUUAUUAAGUAAAUUAAGUAAAUCAAAAUUAUCGUUCCCUAGGUGACACUCGCCGCUAUGAGUCUACUGCAUAUACUUAUAAUUAUAAUAUAUAUAUAGAUAGAUAUAGAUCUAUCUUAUCCGCCUAGUGACUCCUUCAAUAAUUGAAUCCAAUUGCCCUUUAACUCAGUGGUAAGUAACGCCAUGGUAAGGCGUAAGUCAUCGUUCAAAAUCCGAUAAGGGGCUUUUGGCCUUUUUCAUAAAUAUAAAAUAAAGUAAAGUGGUAAUAUUCAUAUUGAAACGGGAAUAAAAAUUGUGUUGAUUUGUAAUAAAAAAGUAACCAACUGGAUAAUAAUGUAAUUAUAAACUUUCGAAUAUUAAUGAUAAUACG
rnacentral:lncRNA from 1 species